AAAUAAUUAAAAUUUAACUGUUGAGAGUGGAGAAAUAUCGUAAUACACGAGUUACAGUGGUGGAAUCUGUUUCUCUUCUGAAAGUUCUGUACUUUUGAUGCAUGGUCGCCUUUUUUCAUAACGUCACUCAGAGAACUCAGAAGAAAACAUGAACAUUUAACGUCACAAUUAAAAUUUAACCAAUCAAUUGCCGAGAACAGAUUUUUUCACUAGUGAGGAGAAAUAUUUUUCUCACACCGGUCAGGAAAUGUGAAAAUAGCACUAAAAUUAGAGAAAAUUGCGUAAACGAAUAUUCCUUAAGGAAUAACAAUUUAUCUUGAACCUUCAAGUACUAUUUUUGAUCAGAAUUAUUUUGGUGGUAAAUACAUGUUGCACACUGAGUUAACAAAUAACCCUUUCGUAUGUAUUGUAAUUAAAAAAAAUGAUUACAAGUACACGACAUAAUCACA
rnacentral:lncRNA from 1 species